rnacentral:rRNA from 1 species
UACAGAGGUCUCAAGCGUUGUUCGGAAUUACUGGGCGUAAAGGGCUCGUAGGCGGCCAACUAAGUCAGACGUGAAAUCCCUCGGCUUAACCGGGGAACUGCGUCUGAUACUGGAUGGCUUGAGUUUGGGAGAGGGAUGCGGAAUUCCAGGUGUAGCGGUGAAAUGCGUAGAUAUCUGGAGGAACACCGGUGGCGAAGGCGGCAUCCUGGACCAACACUGACGCUGAGUGAGCGAAAGCCAGGGGAGCAAACGGG